GGGCUUGUAGCUCAGUGGAAUAGAGCACGUGGCUACGAACCACGGUGUCGGGGGUUCGAAUCCCUCCUUGCCCG
rnacentral:tRNA from 1 species